rnacentral:rRNA from 2 species
UGAGGAAUAUUGGUCAAUGGACGCAAGUCUGAACCAGCCACGUCGCGUGAAGGAAGACGGCCCUACGGGUUGUAAACUUCUUUUGUAAGGGAAUAAAGUGCAGUACGCGUACUGUUUUGCAAGUACCAUACGAAUAAGGAUCGGCUAACUCCGUGCCAGCAGCCGCGGUAAUACGGAGGAUCCGAGCGUUAUCCGGAUUUAUUGGGUUUAAAGGGUGCUCAGGCGGGAGAUUAAGUCGGCGGUGAAAUUUUGCAGCUCAACUGUAAAAGUGCCUUCGAAACUGGUAUCCUUGAGUGUGGAUGAGGUAGGCGGAAUUUGUGGUGUAGCGGUGAAAUGCAUAGAUAUCACGAGGAACUCCGAUUGCGCAGGCAGCUUACUAAGCCAUAACUGACGCUCAAGCACGAAGGCGUGGGGAUCAAACAGG